AAAAUCUUCGGGCAUGUUGGUAGUAUGGAAGGAAAAAUAAUUCCAGCAGCUGUCAGGAUCUGGCUCUUUCCCAUGCACAGAAUGCUGGAAAUACUAGGGCCCAGCCUUGAAGAAACAUUUCCUUCUGACCGCGUUACACACAGCCUUGUGGACCGCUGUGCCAAAGGAAGCCUUGGUUGCUGCAGAGCCUCCACAGGACUGGAUGGGCGGACGUCUGGGCAGUCUGUCUUGGUACCAGAGGCUAAAUCUUCCCUUGUGCUGGUGGUGGUUACUCGGUGGCAGCUUUUCCAGCCACUUUGAAGAGGCCGUUAACAGCUCCAAGCUGCUUCCUCGGGGCCAAGGGUGCAAAUGGCCGUAAGACAGCUCACCUGGACGUCACAGGGACAAGGUGGAAGCUGGAUCCUGAGGAUAUGUGUACGUAGCCUGCACCAACAUGCCAAGGACACAGCCCGCCUGGAAGCCAAGCUGUGGUUCAUCCCGUUGUGCCUCUCAUUGUUCAGAUGCUGCUGCCAAGUGGGUGGAUUCUUCUUUCCUGUUCCGAGCUGUUCAUCUCCAGUGCUGACUGCAGCCUUGUGGUUAAAGCUGUUCCUGAGUAGUUAGCGAAACAGAAGGAUUAAUUUGGAUGACAGGAGAUGUAUAAAUGGAACAUCGUUAUCGUUAUCUUUAGAAUUACAUCUUUCACAUGCCAGGUAAAUCCAGGCGGCAGUUAAGCAUUUUCCCCCUAUGACAUUAUCGCAAAUGUCAUUUGCUGCUUUCAGACUGUUUUAAGCAAGCUAAAUCCAGCAGCCAAGCCAGAGAGCAGUGUUUGUAGCAUCACAUUAUGUAUUUUUGGCUGGAAUAGAUUGUCACAAGCUAGGUUUUCUUCAGGCCUUCAAGAAAAAUCAAUCAGUACGUCUUUUUUGUUAACUGUUGUUAACUACUUCUCUUAUUGUGUGCGUGUUUGUCUCGAAGCUUUGCAGGUGUGUGGGCUGACACCUGGUUUGGAGAUGGUUGGGGAGCUCUUGUGGCUUACGUGCAGUGCAAGAUACCUGCUGCUUCUGUCCUAAGCGAGAGUUUCUGGCUGGUGAAGUCCUCUCCGCUCAAGACAUGCUACUACAGAGGGAGAGGAAGGAAGCAUCUGUGACAGCUCCGGUAGCUAGAACUUCUGGGAUAAUUCAGUAAUGUCUUCAGUCCCUUUUUGUACAUCCUGGCUGGUUAAACUGUUGCAGGCUGUGAAGUGCUGGGGUGCCACUAAAGAGCAUCAUCAACUCCAUGGUUGUGUGGUCUUUAACCAAAAGUAGAAAGAAACUCAACUUUUUUCCUUUGGGCUGAGGUAUUUAAUCCAGUCAUUAACUUAGAUUGCAAACUCCGUGUACCAAGAAUUUACAGCAGUAGUUUCUCCCUGCUUUAUUACUCGCCACUCUGUUUUCUGCAGUCAGGUUCCACUUGUUGCUGGCAGGCUGACAAUAGGCUUAAUAAACCCUCAAAACAGGGAAAAGCUCAUUCUAGUAUGUAUUAGAAUCAUGUAAUUUCACAGCUUUUUGCAGGGCAUCACCAGCCCCGGGGAAGGGAUGGAUGCAGAAGUACCUCUGGCAGCUUUGGCCUUGUACUGGGAGA